GAUGAACGCUGGCGGCGUGCCUAACACAUGCAAGUCGAGCGAGAAGCUUCUCAGUUGAUUCUUCGGAUGAAACAGAGUUGCGGAAAGCGGCGGACGGGUGAGUAACGCGUAGGCAACCUGCCCCUUGCAGAGGGAUAGCCUCGGGAAACCGGGAUUAAAACCUCAUAAUGCGUCGAGGAGACAUCUUCAUGAUGCCAAAGAUUUAUCGGCAAGGGAUGGGCCUGCGUCUGAUUAGUUAGUUGGUGGGGUAACGGCCUACCAAGGCGACGAUCAGUAGCCGACCUGAGAGGGUGAUCGGCCACAUUGGAGCUGAGACACGGUCCAA
rnacentral:rRNA from 1 species